rnacentral:tRNA from 1 species
UCUCGCGUAACUCAGUUGGUAGAGUGCCGGUCUUUUAAACCGGAGGUCGCAGGUUCGAAGCCUGCCGCGGGAA